rnacentral:rRNA from 1 species
AGAGCGAACGCUGGCGGCAGGCCUAACACAUGCAAGUCGAGCGCCCGUAGCAAUACGGGAGCGGCAGACGGGAUAGUAACACGUGGGAACGCGCCCUUCGGUUCGGAAUAACUCAGGGAAACUUGAGCUAAUACCGGAUACGCCCUUACGGGGAAAGAUUUAUUGCCGAAGGAACGGCCCGCGUCCGAUUAGCUAGUUGGUGAGGUAAUGGCUCACCAAGGCGACGAUCGGUAGCUGGUCUGAGAGGAUGACCAGCAUCACUGGGACUGAGACACGGCCCAGACUCCUACGGGAGGCAGCAGUGGGGAAUAUGACAAUGGCGCAAGCCUGAUCCAGCCAUGCCGCGUGGAUGAUGAAGGCCUUAGGGUUGUAAAGUCCGUUUAACGGGAAGAUAAUGACGGUACCGUAGAAUAAGCCCGGCUAACUUCGUGCCAGCAGCCGC